rnacentral:rRNA from 1 species
AACGAACGCUGGCGGCACGCCUAACACAUGCAAGUCGAGCGAGACCUUCGGGUUUAGCGGCGGACGGGUUAGUAACGCGUGGGAACGUACCCUUUUCUACGGAAUAGCCUCGGGAAACUGGGAGUAAUACCGUAUACGCCCUUUUGGGGAAAGAUUUAUCGGAGAAGGAUCGGCCCGCGUCUGAUUAGAUAGUUGGUGGGGUAAUGGCCUACCAAGUCUGCGAUCAGUAGCUGGUUUGAGAGGAUGAUCAGCAACACUGGGACUGAGACACGGCCCAGACUCCUACGGGAGGCAGCAGUGGGGAAUCUUAGACAAUGGGCGCAAGCCUGAUCUAGCGAUGCCGCGUGAGUGACGAAGGCCUUAGGGUCGUAAAGCUCUUUCGCCAGGGAUGAUAAUGACAGUACCUGGUAAAGAAACCCCGGCUAACUCCGUGCCAGCCGCCGCCGUAAUAC